AAUAAAGCUUUGAAUCUUGAAUCUAAAUUUCUUCUACUAAGUGUUGUGUUUUUUUAAGUUUUGCAAUUUGUUCUCAUACUGUACCGAAAGUGAGCCAAACCAUGACCUCAAAACCGAGGUACGUAUCGAACCGUGAUUUUUGUGUAUCGUUACACCCCU